GAACUGAAACAUCUAAGUACCCGGAGGAAGAGAAAACAAUAGUGAUUCCCUAAGUAGUGGCGAGCGAACGGGGAAGAGCCCAAACCACAUCCUACGGGGUGUGGGGUUGUAGGACCUGUAUAAUGAAAACAAUCCAAAGUCGAAGCCGCCUGGAAAGCGGCUCCAUAGAAGGUGAAAGGCCUGUAGGCGUACGGAGCGUUGACAGACGGGUAUCCUGAGUAGUGCGAGGCCGGUGAAACCUUGCAUGAAUCUGCCGGCACCAUCCGGUAAGGCUAAAUACAUCUACAUGACCGAUAGUGAACCAGUACCGU
rnacentral:rRNA from 1 species